rnacentral:rRNA from 1 species
GGACUACACGGGUUUCUAAUCCCAUUCGCUCCCCUAGCUUUCGUUCCUCAGCGUCAGUUACAGCCCAGCAAGCCGCUUGCGCCACCGGUGUUCUUCCCAAUAUCUACGCAUUUCACCGCUACACUGGGAAUUCCGCUUGCCUCUACUGCACUCCAGUCCAUCAGUAUCCAGUGCGAUCCCGAAGUUGAGCUUCAGUCUUUAACACCAGACUUAACGAACCGCCUACGAACUCUUUACGCCCAAUAAAUCCGGACAACGCUCGCAUCCUACGUCUUACCGCGGCUGCUGGCAC